CCCUUAGAUGUUCUGGGCUGCACGCGUGCUACACUGAUAUUGCCAGAAUGUAAUAUCUUAUCCGAAAUGGAUUGGGUAAUCAAGUAAUGAAGUUUCAUGCUUGGAAUCGGUAAUUGUAAUUUUAUCGUGAACGAGGAAUUCCUAGUAAGUGCAAGUCAUCAGCUUGCGCUGAUUACGUCCCUGCCCUUUGUACACACCGCCCGUCGCUACUACUGAUUGGAUGUUUAAGCGAGGUUCUCGAACUGCUAGUGACUGAUCUUCGGUGAGGUCGCAGUGUGGGAAGUGAUCCUAGCUUUGGUGUCUAGAGGAAGUAAAAGUCGUAACA
rnacentral:rRNA from 1 species